GACGUAGGGCGCGAGCGUUGUCCGGAUUUAUUGGGCGUAAAGAGCUCGUAGGCGGCUUGUCGCGUCGACUGUGAAAUCCCGCGGCUCAACUGCGGGUCUGCAGUCGAUACGGGCAGGCUAGAGUUCGGUAGGGGAGACUGGAAUUCCUGGUGUAGCGGUGAAAUGCGCAGAUAUCAGGAGGAACACCGGUGGCGAAGGCGGAUCUCUGGGCCGAUACUGACGCUGAGGAGCGAAAGCUAGGGGAGCGAACGGG
rnacentral:rRNA from 1 species